rnacentral:lncRNA from 1 species
UAUCAUCUUUUUUGUUCUUUUUAUGCAUCUAACUGCGAUUUUAUUUCGUAGAUUGAAUAUGCUGUUAUUACUACAUUGGAUUGCUAAGUUUAUUUGAUCUUGUAUGGAGAUUUGUGUACCGUGGAUUAUUUUUUCCUUCUACUAAGGAUUUUGUAUGAAAUGAUACACAGUUGGAGUAGAUGCAUCAGUUUUUUAGUUUUUUUUUCCAAGGAGUUGGAAAUAUAAUACUUCGGAUCAUUUUGAAUUACUUUUAGUUCCAGUCAUAGGUCUGUUAAUGCCUGUAUCGGGAGAGGAGUGGUUGGCCGGGAGUUUAGGAUUUAGAGAUGACUUUUUUUGUCGUGUUGGUUGGCUUCCCCUGGAAAUUUGGGGUUGCAGAUUACUGUGAUCCCUAUCUUGCAAGUGUUAAAAAUUAAAGAGGUGAGUUUUAACUAUACUUUGUGGCGAGCAGUUUCUGAGUCUUCACUUGAAGCCAGCCCUGCUUAAAUGCAUUCAUUGCUAGUUUCCAUUUGCUUGAGAAUUUAAGUUACUUCAUCUAGUUGUCUAAUAAGAUGAAUUACUGUAAUCUUGAGAUUGAUUUUUGCUAGUAUAUAAAUUUGUUGUUGCUUAUUUGAUACAAGGUUUCCAUUUAUAUGUGAUUGGUUGAUGGUUUCCUCCAUAUUGUGAAAGCUUUCUUUGUGAGCUAUGAAUGAUUGUUGGCUGCAGUGUUUUAAACUCUGCUUUUCCAUGCAAAGCUCAAUCCAGUGGUGCUGGUGUUGAUGGAAUCCUUACUUUCUUUUCAGAUCCCUCACUUGAGACCUGCUGAAUACAAGAGGUCUCGAUUGUCUAGGAACCGCAGGACUGUGAACCGUGCCUAUGGAGGAGUCUUGUCUGGAAGCGCUGUUCGGGAGAGGUACAAUACCCUGAUGGUUUCUUGUUUUUUUUUGUUUUUUGAAGUGAUGAGACCCGCUUUAAGUGGUUUUGGUGUGUUUAUUAUGCAGAAUAAUCCGAGCCUUCUUGGUGGAGGAGCAAAAGAUUGUGAAGAAGGUUUUGAAGAUCCAGAAGUCAAAAGAAAAACAAGCCUCAAAGAGCUAGAUGAGAGGUGUAUGAAGUGGAGUUUUCCUACUUAGAGGAUGUUUCAGUAAACUUUUGUUGUUGCUUAAUGGCCAGUCAAAUGUGGAAUUGAUUAUUAGCUUGCUUGAUACUCUCAUGACUUGGAUAUGUUAAUUUUACUUAUUUUCAAUUUGAUUUCGUUGCCUAUAUUUGGAUGGUUUGCCAAUUUCCUUUGAUUCCAUGUUCUUGCAUAGUGCCUAAAUAUAUCUAAAAUUAGCAUGUCUCCAGCAAGUCUGAAUUCUUCCAAUUGCUCCCAGUCUCAUCAUGAUCUCUUUUCUCAUUUUUUUGCCACAACAAUUUGACAUACAUUUCAGUCCUGCAUAUUCAACAGAUAAUUUUAAUAAUAGAUCAUAAGUGAAGUUCUUGUUUGUGAUCUUUAGCACUUUUAAAGUCAAUUUUAUUACUGAGUUAUGAAAAUUAAAAUUUUAGGGGGCAAUCCCCUUUGAUUUUCAAACAAGGGCAUUGGAAUUAGUUUAGGAUUGACGGGGGCUCAUGCCGCUGGAGUUGUUAGUCUCUAUGAAUGCUAUUGCAUGGUCUUUAAAUAUUUUGAAAUCUUAAAAUAUAUUUUUUAAAAAAUAUAUUAAAAUAAUAUUUUUUUAUUUUAAAAAAAAUUACUUGUAAUAUCAAUACUUAAAAAAGAAAUUUAUUUUUAAUUAUCUAGAUAAAUUAAAAAGAAAUUAAACCUAAAAAAAAAAAAAGAUUGGAAUUUAAUACCAAAAACUUGACAAUUGAAAUUUGCAUUUGGAGAGCAAGCAUUGAUUCAAUGAUUUGUGCUUCUGCCUCCCAGAUUGUGAGGGACUGCAGCCCUGCACCUUGCAACUGAUGUCGAGAUAAUUUAUGUGAUUUAGGUAGCUUCUAGUGCUAUUCACUCUUAGCAAGGAGGAUAGACAGGGGACAAAAAAACAUACAGCUUGAGGCAUUCAUUUAAAACUUGACCUCGGCUAGAUCUUGUACAAGGUACAACUCAUGUAUUUAGAGGGGUGGGUUGAUUAAAAAAAUAUUUUUUAAAAUAAUAAAAAUAAGUUUUUAUUUCAUGAAAAAAAUCUCUUGUGAAUUGAUCAGGUCACAGUUAAUUCUAAUAUUUUACCUGAUGAAUCAUUUAUUUAUUUAUUUUUUACUUGAAGCAGUUUAGAUCUUGAAUUCGCUAUAUCUCAACGAAGUUUAAUUUUAUAAUUAGUGAUGAGUACAAUCAUAGAGUGAAGGUAACAUGUUUAUAUGAUUUUAUCAAAAUAAUUUUAUGUGAUAAAAAAACAAAAAAAACAAAAAUUCUAUGAAAAUUAUUACAUUAAUCUGUUCUAUUCCAUCAUGGUGUGAGUCUCCUACACUGGUCCGAGUCCAACCGACUAAGGUUGUAUCGUGUUGUUGUUAUUGAGAUUUGAGAAUGAAGGUUUGCCACAAGAUCAAUGGGGAAAUACAAUGAAAUUGUCAAAUUAGUUUGGACUGGUUAUUGGGCCUUAAACUCCAGUCUUUAGCCCAGUCUACUAGGCUGGAGCAUUGCAGUCUUGGACAUGAGCCGAUAAUUCUUAGGCCCACCUUAAGCUCCAUUGGGCGUAUCGUUUUGCAUUAGGGUUUCAAAGAAACCCUAGCUAUAAACGCUCUCCCGUCUUCCCUUUUGUAUGCACACCAUACACAAACACGGAGACUGAAGAGCUGAUCCGAAGAUGGUGCAGCGUCUGACUUACCGGAAGCGUCACAGCUACGCCACCAAGUCUAACCAACACCGUGUGGUGAAAACACCUGGUAAGUUAGCAACAUGUCCAUUACAUCAUAUGUAUUGUUGAAUCUUUCUUUUUCUUCUUCUGUUUUUUGUUAAUGCUAAAGAAAAUAGCGAAUUGGGUAAUGAGUUUUUGUUGCUGUUCGGUUUAUGGUUUGAAGGUGGGAAAUUGAUUUACCAAACCACCAAGAAGAGAGCUAGCGGACCCAAGUGCCCAGUUACUGGCAAGAGGAUUCAAGGGGUAUUGUUUUUGUAUCAUCUUUUUUUUUUCUUUUUAUGCAUCUAACUGGGAUGUUAUUUAUUAGAUUGAAUCUGCUGUUAUUACUACAUUGGAUUGCUAAGUUUAUUUGAUCUUGUAUGGAGAUUUGUGUGCCGUGGAUUAUUUUGUCCUUCAUACUAAGGAUUUCUUAAGAAAUGAUACUCAGUUGGUGUAGAUGCAUUAGUUUUUUAGUUUAUUAGUUUUUUGGUUACGAGUUGGAAAUAAAAUAUUUCGAAUCAUUUUGAAUUACUUUUACGGUUCUAGCCAUAGGUCUGCUAAUGCCUGUAUCCGGAGAGGAGUGGUUUGCUGGGAGUUUAGGAUUUAGAUAUGACUUUUUUGUCGUGUUGGCUGGUUUCCCCCAAAAAUUUGGGGUCGCAUUGUACUGCAAUCACUAUCUUGCAAGUGUUAAAAAUUAAAGGGGUGAGUUUUAACUAUACUUUGUUGCUUUGUGGCGAGCAGUUUCCAAGUCUUCCCUUGAAGCCAGCCCUGCUUAAAAGCACUUCAUUGCCAUUUUCCAUUUCCUUGAGAAUUUAAGUUACCUAGUCUAGUUGUCUAAUAAGAUGAAUUACAGUAAUCUUGAUAAUGAUUUUUGCUGGUAUAUAAAUUUGUUAUUGCUUAUUUGAUACAAGGUUUCCAUUUAUAUGUGAUUGGUUGAUGGUUUCCUCCAUAUUGUGAAAGAUUUAUUUCUGAGCUAUGAAUGAUUGUUGGCUGCAGUGUUUUAAAACCCGCUUUUCUUUACAAAGCUCAAUACAGUGGUGCUGGUUUUGAUGGAAUCCUUACUUUCUUUUCAGAUCCCUCACUUGAGACCUGCUGAAUACAAGAGGUCUAGAUUGUCUAGGAACCGCAGGACUGUGAACCGUGCCUAUGGAGGAGUCUUGUCUGGAAGCGCUGUUCGGGAGAGGUACGAUACCCGGAUGGUUUCUUUUUUGUUUUGUUUUUUGAAGUGAUGAAGACCCGCUUUAAGUGGUUUUGGUGUGUUUAUU